AUUCUAUCCCAGUUAGAAAUAGCACAGUAAGAAAUAACACUCUAGGAAAGCCAAGUGGACUAAGGCAGACCUCCGGCGAUCCGGCGGCCGACGGUUGCUAUCGCUCCCAUGCCGGAAUAUGGGCAUAUACCUACGUAUGAAUGUACUCGACUAGAGCCAUAAAACCGUGAUCGAAGCGAAGAAAUAAUGGAAUUAUUUCAACAUCAUGUAUUACAGCAACAAUUUCAGGGGGUUGUAUUAGCCCAUGAUUGAUAAUCUGAAUUGCAAUAAAUUCUGCACACGAAUCGAUUGUCGAACCUUUGCCAUGAGUCCAUAAAUUAAGCUGCAAACCGCAGAGAAACCCACGACGCAUCAAUUAUGGAUUUUAUCUCUCGAGAUAAAGAUCUGCAACUGAUACCCAGAAUAUAUCUUUUGAUCUGACCUCUAACACUGAGAUCUGCAUGCAUUUAUGUUUAUUUACAUGACUGUAUCUGGGCUGCCUUUCUUAGUGUGGGGCGACUAUCGUUGGUAUCGCCGCUACUGGGUGAUAACGCUCUUUCCCAUUGCCCAUAGAUAAGCGCACUUUCCUAUCGCCGCGUCGGGGGAUUAGGUGCGAUUUUCUUU
rnacentral:lncRNA from 1 species